AACGAACGCUGGCGGCAUUCCUAACACAUGCAAGUCGAACGAGACCUUCGGGUCUAGUGGCGCACGGGUGCGUAACGCGUGGGAACCUGCCCUUAGGUUCGGAAUAACUCCCCGAAAGGGGUGCUAAUACCGGAUAAUGUCUUCGGACCAAAGAUUUAUCGCCUUUGGAUGGGCCCGCGUUGGAUUAGCUAGUUGGUAGGGUAAAAGCCUACCAAGGCGACGAUCCAUAGCUGGUCUGAGAGGAUGAUCAGCCACACUGGGACUGAGACACGGCCCAGACUCCUACGGGAGGCAGCAGUGGGGAAUAUUGGACAAUGGGCGAAAGCCUGAUCCAGCAAUGCCGCGUGAGUGAUGAAGGCCUUAGGGUUGUAAAGCUCUUUUACCCGGGAUGAUAAUGACAGUACCGGGAGAAUAAGCGCCGGCUAACUCCGUG
rnacentral:rRNA from 1 species